GAAAUGCGAUAAGUAGUGUGAAUCGCAGAAUUCAGUGAAUCAUCGAAUCUUUGAACGCACAUUGCGCCCCUUGGUAUUCCAUGGGGCAUGCCUGUUCGAGCGUCAUUUGUACCCUCAAGCUCUGCUUGGUGUUGGGUGUUUGUCCCCGUCUCCGCGCGUGGACUCGCCCCAAAGUGAUUGGCAGCCGGCGUACUGGUCCCGGAGCGCAGCACAUGUCGCGCAAACGAGUGCCUUGGUACGGCGGCGUCCAUAAGCCCCUCUCCCACGCUCUUGACCUCGGAUCAGGUAGGGAUACCCGCUGAACUUAAGC
rnacentral:misc_RNA from 1 species